rnacentral:misc_RNA from 1 species
UAUUUAUAGGCAAAUCCUGAGUUGCAUGUCUAACGGCCAUUAGCACUGUUACGUAACGAUAACGGUUGUUGUUUACCAUUAAAUAACAGUAGCAAGCGUUCUAUUAUGCAUCUGCCACAAAUCAUGUGCAAAGAACAUUUUUCCUUUUCAUUUCAUUAAUGUCUAAAAAUGAGAUAUUUAAGCUUAUUAUAUAGUUGUACAUUUUAGUUUUACUUGUAUCUACCAA